UACGUAGGGUGCAAGCGUUGUCCGGAAUUAUUGGACGUAAAGAGCUCGUAGGCGGUCUGUCGCGUCGGAUGUGAAAACUCGGGGCUCAACCCCGAGCCUGCAUUCGAUACGGGCAGACUAGAGUUCGGUAGGGGAGACUGGAAUUCCUGGUGUAGCGGUGAAAUGCGCAGAUAUCAGGAGGAACACCGGUGGCGAAGGCGGGUCUCUGGGCCGAUACUGACGCUGAGGAGCGAAAGCGUGGGGAGCGAACAGGA
rnacentral:rRNA from 1 species